UGGGGAAUAUUGCACAAUGGGCGCAAGCCUGAUGCAGCCAUGCCGCGUGUGUGAAGAAGGCCUUCGGGUUGUAAAGCACUUUCAGCGGGGAGGAAGGCGUUAAGGUUAAUAACCUUGGCGAUUGACGUUACCCGCAGAAGAAGCACCGGCUAACUCCGUGCCAGCAGCCGCGGUAAUACGGAGGGUGCAAGCGUUAAUCGGAAUUACUGGGCGUAAAGCGCACGCAGGCGGUCUGUCAAGUCGGAUGUGAAAUCCCUGGGCUCAACCUGGGAACUGCAUUCGAAACUGGCAGGCUAGAGUCUUGUAGAGGGGGGUAGAAUUCCAGGUGUAGCGGUGAAAUGCGUAGAGAUGUGGAGGAAUACCGGUGGCGAAGGCGGCCCCCUGGACAAAGACUGACGCUCAGGUGCGAAAGCGUGGGGAGCAAACAGG
rnacentral:rRNA from 1 species